rnacentral:lncRNA from 1 species
UGUAACAGAUAGACUGCCCCUCUGCUCACUUUUCUGUUUCACAGACACAAGGUCUUUUUGUCCCAAGAAAGCCUCCUGGCUUAGCUGUGUGACUAAAUGCUAUUUGCCCUCUUCAGUGGACCUCUAUUCUCAAGAUUCCCUUGUUUUCUCACCAUCCCAUUUGAGAUGCUUGUUAGUAACUGUUACAGGUCUUCUUUACCACCGAGGAAAGACAGAAUCCUACUAGAGGCCAAAAAAAAAGUGUUCCAGAGAUGGAUGGAAGGCCCUCACUUCUGCCUGCUCUCUUCAGACGCCUGAAGGUAGGGAGUGCUCCAGGUCUGCCGCCAGGCUCCAACGGUGGGUCUCUGAGGGGCUAGAAAAUGCCCCACCAAUCUGGCUAAGAUAAAGAAAAGAUAUGAAGAAAAAGUUACAAAAAUUUGAAGGGUUAAGUUGCUGAGAGUUAGUAUAAGUUACAGAGAAAAUAAGGUUAAAAAAAGAGAUAAAAAGAACAGAAAGCUAGAG